GGGCGGCCGAUGGCAGAUUAGGUAGUUGGUGGGGUAAAGGCCUACCAAGCCGACGAUCUGUAGCUGGUCUGAGAGGACGACCAGCCACACUGGGACUGAGACACGGCCCAGACUCCUACGGGAGGCAGCAGUGGGGAAUUUUGGACAAUGGGGGCAACCCUGAUCCAGCAAUGCCGCGUGUGUGAAGAAGGCCUUCGGGUUGUAAAGCACUUUUGUCCGGGAAGAAAUCCCCUGGGUCAAUACCCCGGGGGGAUGACGGUACUGGAAGAAUAACCACCGGCUAACUACGUGCCAGCAGCCGCGGUAAUACGUAGGGUGCGAGCGUUAAUCGGAAUUACUGGGCGUAAAGCGUGCGCAGGCGGUGCUGUAAGACCGAUGUGAAAUCCCCGGGCUUAACCUGGGAACUGCAUUGGUGACUGCAGC
rnacentral:rRNA from 1 species